GUAACGAGUAAGCCAAAUGGUAAUACACAAAACUUUUCUGUUCUAAUCAGUGUGAAAACUGGUUUUCGCCUUUUGGCGGACUUUUUCACUCGCAUUUUUGGGCAAUCGUCUGCGGCUAGCUUGCUAGCGGCGGACGAGCGGUCUCCGGGGGCGUUCACCUUUUCCCCGCUUGGCCAACUACAG
rnacentral:snRNA from 1 species